rnacentral:tmRNA from 1 species
GGGGGCGCACUGGUUUCGACGGGGACGUGGAAGCCGGAAUUGCAGGUCGAGGCGCCGCUGGCCUCGUAAAAAGCGGCACACAAGUAAUUGGCAACGAUUACGACUACGCUUACGCGGCUUAAUUGACCGCGCCGUGAUGGAUGGGUCUUCGCCUGUUGGAACCACCGGAUCGGACAUACUUAAACAGGCUGGCGUCCCGAGAUGUCUGUCGCGACGGGCGCGAGACUUUACGGCAGGCUGCCCGGAAGAUGCCCUGUCGGGGGCGACCCUUCCGGAAAGACGCAUACCCGGCAUAAACCUGUAGACGUUCCGCGUGAAAACUUCUCGGACGGGGGUUCAAUUCCCCCCGCCUCCACC